rnacentral:SRP_RNA from 1 species
GCUGGGCGUGGUGGCACACGCCUGUAAUCCCAGCUACUCGGGAGGCUGAGGCAGGAGAAUUGCUUGAGCCCGGGAGACGGAGGUUGCAGUGAGCAGAGAUCAUGCCACUGCACUCCAGCCUGGCCGACAGAGCGAGACUCUGUCUCAA